UGGGGAAUAUUGGGCAAUGGGGCGAAAGCCUGACCCAGCAACGCCGCGUGAGGGAAGAAGGUUUUCGGUAUUGUAAACCUCUGUUCUUAGUGACGAAGGAAGUGACGGUAGCUAAGAAGGAAGCCCCGGCUAACUACGUGCCAGCAGCCGCGGUAAUACGUAGGGGGCGAGCGUUGUCCGGAAUUACUGGGCGUAAAGGGUGAGUAGGCGGCUUAUUAAGUUGGAUGUGAAAUACCCGGGCUUAACCUGGGGGGUGCAUUCAAAACUGGUAGGCUAGAGUAUCGGAGAGGAAAGCGGAAUUCCUGGUGUAGCGGUGAAAUGCGUAGAUAUCAGGAGGAACACCGGUGGCGAAGGCGGCUUUCUGGACGACAACUGACGCUGAGGCACGAAAGCGUGGGGGAGC
rnacentral:rRNA from 1 species